rnacentral:rRNA from 1 species
UACGUAGGGGGGCAAGCGUUGUCCGGAAUCAUUGGGCGUAAAGAGCGUGUAGGCGCCUGGCAAGUCUCGCGUGAAAUCUUGCGGCUCAACCGCAAGCGGUCGUGAGAAACUGCCUGGCUAGAAUCCGGAAGAGGAGAGCGGAAUUCCUGGUGUAGCGGUGGAAUGCGCAGAUAUCAGGAAGAACACCCGUGGCGAAGGCGGCUCUCGUGGGAGCGGUACUGACGCUGAGCGCGAAAGCGUGGGGAGCAACAGG